rnacentral:rRNA from 1 species
GACGAACGCUGGCGGCGUGCCUAAUACAUGCAAGUAGAACGCUGAAGAGAGGAGCUUGCUCUUCUUGGAUGAGUUGCGAACGGGUGAGUAACGCGUAGGUAACCUGCCUGGUAGCGGGGGAUAACUAUUGGAAACGAUAGCUAAUACCGCAUAAAAUUGAUUAUUGCAUGAUAAUUAAUUGAAAGAUGCCAUUGCAUCACUACCAGAUGGACCUGCGUUGUAUUAGCUAGUUGGGGAGGUAAUGGCUCACCAAGGCGACGAUACAUAGCCGACCUGAGAGGGUGAUCGGCCACACUGGGACUGAGACACGGCCCAGACUCCUACGGGAGGCAGCAGUAGGGAAUCUUCGGCAAUGGGGGGAACCCUGACCGAGCAACGCCGCGUGAGUGAAGAAGGUUUUCGGAUCGUAAAGCUCUGUUGUAAGAGAAGAACGGGUGUGAGAGUGGAAAGUUCACACUGUGACGGUAUCUUACCAGAAAGGGACGGCUAACUACGUGCCAGCCGCCCGUAAAAC